rnacentral:rRNA from 1 species
AACUCAAAAACUUAGUCUCAGUUCGGAUUGUAGGCUGAAACUCGCCUACAUGAAGCUGGAGUUGCUAGUAAUCGCGAAUCAGCAUGUCGCGGUGAAUACGUUCCCGGGCCUUGUACACACCGCCCGUCACACCAUGAGAGUUGGCAAUACCCAACGUACGUGAUCUAACCCGCAAGGGAGGAAGCGUCCUAAGGUAGGGUCAGCGAUUGGGGUGAAGUCGUAACAAGGUAUC